CAGUAGCCGCGGGAAUACGAAGGGGGCUAGCGUUGUUCGGAAUCACUGGGCGUAAAGAGCACGUAGGCGGAUCUUUAAGUCAGGGGUGAAAUCCCGAGGCUCAACCUCGGAACUGCCUUUGAUACUGGGGAUCUCGAGUCCGGGAGAGGUGAGUGGAACUGCGAGUGUAGAGGUGAAAUUCGUAGAUAUUCGCAAGAACACCAGUGGCGAAGGCGGCUCACUGGCCCGGAACUGACGCUGAGGUGCGAAAGCGUGGGGAGCAAACAGGAUUAGAUACCCGAGUAGUCCCUGUCUCUUAUAC
rnacentral:rRNA from 1 species